GAUGAACGCUGGCGGCGUGCUUAACACAUGCAAGUCGAACGGAAAGGCUCCUGCUUGCAGGGGUACUCGAGUGGCGAACGGGUGAGUAACACGUGGGUGAUCUGCCCUGCACUUCGGGAUAAGCCUGGGAAACUGGGUCUAAUACCGGAUAGGACGAUGGUUUGGAUGCCAUUGUGGAAAGUUUUUCGGUGUGGGAUGAGCUCGCGGCCUAUCAGCUUGUUGGUGGGGUAAUGGCCUACCAAGGCGUCGACGGGUAGCCGGCCUGAGAGGGUGUACGGCCACAUUGGGACUGAGAGACGGCCCAGACUCCUACGGGAGGCAGCAGUGGGGAAUAUUGCACAAUGGGCGCAAGCCUGAUGCAGCGACGCCGCGUGGGGGAUGACGGCCUUCGGGUUGUAAACUCCUUUCGCUAGGGACGAAGCGCAAGUGACGGUACCUGGAGAAGAAGCACCGGCUAACUACGU
rnacentral:rRNA from 1 species